UGAAGAGCACCGACCCUAUGCAGUGUCUGGCCCCUCUGCUGCACAGAAGAAAAGGGCCUUGGAGGGCAGAGGGCAGAGGGCAGGCUGUGACCAGGGCCCUGGGCAAGUCAGGCCCACUCACUAGGGGAGGGCCACGCUGGGGCGGCAGGGUCAGGGGCUUCAGGGGACUCAGUGGACCCACGAGAAGCCAUCUGAGAACAGUGUCCACUGGUCAAGCCAGGCACCCAUGAAAGGCUGGAGUGGGGCCAAUGGGCAUGAGUCGUCCCUGAGGUGGCACCGAUGUCCAGAGCUGAGGCCAAGCUAGAGGCCCUGGACUGUGCUGACUCCCGGCAGGCAGAGAGCGCUGACCUGGCUGCCUAGCCCCGCCUCCUAGGCUACAGGGGUGCCUGCAGAAGGGUACCACAGGGCCACCAGUCCUGCAAGCUUUCUGGGGCAGGCUGGGCCUGACCUUGGCUUUGGGGCAGGGAGCGGGCUAAGGUGACGCAGGUGGCGCCAGCCAGGUGCACACCCAAUGCCCAUGAGCCCAGACACUGGACGCUUAACCUCACGGACAGUUAAGAACCCAGGGGCCUCUGCGCCCUGGGCCCAGCUCUGUCCCACACCACGGUCACAUGGCACCACCUCUCUUGCAGCCUCCACCAAGGGCCCAUCGGUCUUCCCCCUGGCGCCCUCCUCCAAGAGCACCUCUGGGGGCACAGCAGCCCUGGGCUGCCUGGUCAAGGACUACUUCCCCGAACCGGUGACCGUGUCGUGGAACUCAGGCGCCCUGACCAGCGGCGUGCACACCUUCCCGGCUGUCCUACAGUCCUCAGGACUCUACUCCCUCAGCAGCGUGGUGACCGUGCCCUCCAGCAGCUUGGGCACCCAGACCUACACCUGCAACGUAGAUCACAAGCCCAGCAACACCAAGGUGGACAAGAGAGUUGAGCCCAAAUGUUGUGUCGAGUGCCCACCAUGCCCAGCACCACCUGUGGCAGGACCGUCAGUCUUCCUCUUCCCCCCAAAACCCAAGGACACCCUCAUGAUCUCCCGGACCCCUGAGGUCACAUGUGUGGUAGUGGACGUGAGCCACGAAGACCCUGAGGUCCAGUUCAACUGGUACGUGGACGGCGUGGAGGUGCAUAAUGCCAAGACAAAGCCACGGGAGGAGCAGUUCAACAGCACGUACCGUGUGGUCAGCGUCCUCACCGUCGUGCACCAGGACUGGCUGAACGGCAAGGAGUACAAGUGCAAGGUCUCCAACAAAGGCCUCCCGGCCCCCAUCGAGAAAACCAUCUCCAAAACCAAAGGGCAGCCCCGAGAACCACAGGUGUACACCCUGCCCCCAUCCCGGGAGGAGAUGACCAAGAACCAGGUCAGCCUGACCUGCCUGGUCAAAGGCUUCUACCCCAGCGACAUCGCCGUGGAGUGGGAGAGCGGCGGGCAGCCGGAGAACAACUACAAGACCACGCCUCCCAUGCUGGACUCCGACGGCUCCUUCUUCCUCUACAGCAAGCUCACCGUGGACAAGAGCAGGUGGCAGCAGGGGAACGUCUUCUCAUGCUCCGUGAUGCAUGAGGCUCUGCACAACCACUACACGCAGAAGAGCCUCUCCCUGUCUCUGGGUAAAUGAGUGCCACGGCCGGCAAGCCCCCGCUCCCCGGGCUCUCGGGGUGGCGCGAGGAUGCUUGGCACGUACCCCGUGUACAUACUUCCCGGGCACCCAGCAUGGAAAUAAAGCACCCAGCGCUGCCCUGGGCCCCUGCGA